AGCUCCAAUAGCGUAUAUGUAAGUUGCUGCGGUUAAAAAGCUCGUAGUUGGAUUUGGGAUCCAACAUCGAAGGCCCGCGUAAGGUUGUACCCGUUGGCUCACGCUGAUUGGGUUCAAAGCCUGGCGGAUCACUUUCGAACGUUGGUUUAAUACAACUCGUCGACUCGCUAGGAGUGCUCUUUACCGAGUGUUCCCACGCGGUUGACACGUUCACUUUGAAUAAAUUAGAGUGCUUAAAGCAGGCAAAUUGUACGCCUGGAUGGGUACGCAUGGAAUGAAGGAACAGGACCUCGGUUCUGCUCUUUUGGUCGGUUUUCGAACCGAGGUAAUGAUUAAAAGGAACAGACGGUGGCAUUAGUACUGUGACGCUAGAGGUGAAAUUCUUGGAACGUCGCAUGAC
rnacentral:rRNA from 1 species